rnacentral:rRNA from 1 species
AUGGCGACCGGCGCACGGGUGAGUAACACGUAUCCAACCUGCCUCAUACUCGGGGAUAGCCUUUCGAAAGAAAGAUUAAUACCCGAUGUUAUAGUCCUACCGCAUGAUGGGAUUAUUAAAGAGUUUCGGUAUGGGAUGGGGAUGCGUUCCAUUAGUUAGUUGGCGGGGUAACGGCCCACCAAGACAACGAUGGAUAGGGGCUCUGAGAGGAAGGUCCCCCACAUUGGAACUGAGACACGGUCCAAACUCCUACGGGAGGCAGCAG